UAGGGAAUCUUCGGCAAUGGACGAAAGUCUGACCGAGCAACGCCGCGUGAGUGAAGAAGGUUUUCGGAUCGUAAAACUCUGUUGGUAGAGAAGAACGUUGGUGAGAGUGGAAAGCUCAUCAAGUGACGGUAACUACCCAGAAAGGGACGGCUAACUACGUGCCAGCAGCCGCGGUAAUACGUAGGUCCCGAGCGUUGUCCGGAUUUAUUGGGCGUAAAGCGAGCGCAGGUGGUUUAUUAAGUCUGGUGUAAAAGGCAGUGGCUCAACCAUUGUAUGCAUUGGAAACUGGUAGACUUGAGUGCAGGAGAGGAGAGUGGAAUUCCAUGUGUAGCGGUGAAAUGCGUAGAUAUAUGGAGGAACACCGGUGGCGAAAGCGGCUCUCUGGCCUGUAACUGACACUGAGGCUCGAAAGCGUGGGGAGCAAACAGGAUUAGAUACCCUGGUAGUCCACGCCGUAAACGAUGAGUGCUAGAUGUAGGGAGCUAUAAGUUCUCUGUAUCGCAG
rnacentral:rRNA from 1 species